GACGAACGCUGGCGGCGUGCUUAACACAUGCAAGUCGAGCGGAAAGGCCCUUUCGGGGGUACUCGAGCGGCGAACGGGUGAGUAACACGUGAGUAAUCUGCCCUUCACUUGGGGAUAACUACCGGAAACGGUGGCUAAUACCCGAUAUGACCAAUCACUGCAUGGUGUGUUGGUGGAAAGUUUUUUCGGUGGAGGAUGUGCUCGCGGCCUAUCAGCUUGUUGGUGGGGUAAUGGCCUACCAAGGCUUCGACGGGUAGCCGGCCUGAGAGGGUGAGCGGCCACACUGGGACUGAGACACGGCCCAGACUCCUACGGGAGGCAGCAGUGGGGAAUAUUGGACAAUGGGCGAAAGCCUGAUCCAGCAACGCCGCGUGAGGGAUGACGGCCUUCGGGUUGUAAACCUCUUUCAGCGGGGACGAAGCGCCGGUAAUGGUGGUGACGGUACCCGCAGAAGAAGCACCGGUCAACUACGUGCCAGCCGCCGCGGUAA
rnacentral:rRNA from 1 species